CUUUCCUUCCGGGAGACGACCUCGUCAGCGUCCUCGACACCUUGGCUGGCUUCUCCUUUGGCUUCGGCUUCGGAGCAGCCGCCUUGGGCUUGGCAGCAGCAGCUUUUGGCUUGGCGGCCGCGGGUUUAGGCUUGGCGGCGGGUUUAGGCUUGGCAGCAGGCUUAGACUUAACCGGAGCAGCCGCUUUGGGCUUCGGAGCAGCAGCUUUUGGCUUAGCUGCGGGCUUUGCCUUCGGUUUCGCCUUAGGCUUGGCGGCAGCAGCCUUUGGCUUGGCCGGAGCUUUGGAAGCUGGCUUUUUCCCUCCCUUAGGCUUCGCAGCAGGAGCUUUUGCCUUGGGCUUAGCGGCCGGCUUCUUCUUCACCGGAGAAGCAGGCUUCGGCGCCGAGGACCUCACAGGCGGGAUCUUGUAGGAGUUUU
rnacentral:lncRNA from 1 species